AGAGUUUGAUCCUGGCUCAGAUUGAACGCUGGCGGCAUGCUUUACACAUGCAAGUCGAACGGUAACAGGUUAAGCUGACGAGUGGCGAACGGGUGAGUAAUGCAUCGGAACGUGCCCGGUCGUGGGGGAUAACGCAGCGAAAGCUGCGCUAAUACCGCAUACGAUCUGAGGAUGAAAGCGGGGGACCGUAAGGCCUCGCGCGAUCGGAGCGGCCGAUGUCAGAUUAGGUAGUUGGUGGGGUAAAGGCUCACCAAGCCGACGAUCUGUAGCUGGUCUGAGAGGACGACCAGCCACACUGGGACUGAGACACGGCCCAGACUCCUACGGGAGGCAGCAGUGGGGAAUUUUGGACAAUGGGCGCAAGCCUGACCCAGCAAUGCCGCGUGCAGGAAGAAGGCCUUCGGGUUGUAAACUGCUUUUGUACGGAGCGAAAAGGUCUUCCCUAAUACGGGAGGCUGAUGACGGUACCGUAAGAAUAAGCACCGGCUAACUACGUGCCAGCAGCCGCGGUAAUACGUAGGGUGCGAGCGUUAAUCGGAAUUACUGGGCGUAAAGCGUGCGCAGGCGGUUUUGUAAGACAGGCGUGAAAUCCCCGGGCUCAACCUGGGAAUGGCGCUUGUGACUGCAAAGCUGGAGUGCGG
rnacentral:rRNA from 1 species